UUCACUUCUGCUCUUAGUCUGGCUUCCACUACUCUUUCCCACACCUUCAUUGUAUGGCUCAUCAGCUUUAUUCCUCUGUAGUUACCACAACUCUGCACACCUCCCUUAUUCUUAAAAAUGGACACCCAGACCAGGAAAUAAGGGGCUUUAAUUAGAUUUAUAGAAAGGUAUGUGGGCGGGGCUACAGUGUAACAACUGGACACGAGUUUUACUGAGGUCAAAAACAAAUAGUUUUUUGGGGACUUGUGAAGGUUUCUUGUGUAGGGCAGAUAUGGGGUUAGGAAUCUUUUGACACAGGAGGUGUAUAUUUGAAUAAACCCCUUUGGUAUUUGGGGCUUUAUUAAUUAUAUUUGUGUACAUUUCUAGUUGAACGGGAUGGAAAAGAGAAUAGAUAAGAGUGUGAUAGGGGAUAAUGAUAAAAAAUGGGGAAAAAAUGGAGGUUAAAGAAGAGGGGUAGAAUUACAAAAAGAGGCAACAAGUUGCUAGAGGUUUAUCAUUGUUACUGUCAAAUGUUGUUAGUCUAAGGGUGAGGCCUGUCCACAGACACACUCAAACAUACCUGUUUGGUUAAAGAAAAAACGAUAGCUCACAUACAUUCAUUCUGUCACGCAUGCUAUUUUUAUGAAGGUGAGCUCCGUGGUGGAUGAUGGAAUUUAAAAAGAGGGUAAAGCGCCUGGUCACCCCCACACCAAGACCCCAUGUCCAAGACUGUGGAGCAGUGGUCACCAGGGAAAUACAACCUACGAGAUUUAUGUAAAUGUUAGUUAAAAGAAUGUAAACACUGCAGCUCAAGUUUUAAACAUGCGUCCUCUUGUAAAAUAUUAGCUCAUUUUUUUAACUUACUGCUGAGUGUUUGAACCAGAGAGUUUCAUAUCAGCAACUUCCAGCAGCAAAUCAGAAAGGAUUCAGUUGAAAGUGAUGCAUUUUAGACUAAUUUGACCACAUUUUUGGUAAAUUAUCCAAAGUAACACCUUAUUUAAACCAACAACACAGAUUCUGACGUAGAGAAGAACAGCUUUGCACCGGCAUUCAACAGCAUUAUUUGUAGAAUUUUAGAAUCUGUAGAAUGGAUCAUCAGGUUCUCCAGAAAACCAUGCAGUCCAAGCUGCAUCAGUCUAAUCAAAGAUGCCCAGACUUCCCUCUCCCCGGCCACUUCCUCCAGCUCCUCUGGGAGGACCCUGAGGCGUUCCCAGACCAGCCGAGAGACAAAGUCUCUUCAGAGUCUCCUCGGUCUUCCUCGGGACACCUCCCCAGAGGCGUCCAGGAGGCAUCCGGACCAGAUGCCCGCGCCACCUCAACUGGCUCCUCUCAAUGUGGAGGAGAAGAGGUUCUACUCCAAGCUCUCUUCGAUUGACCGAGCUUCUAUCUCUAAAGGAGCGCCCAGCCACCCUCCAGAGGAAACUCAUUUCAGCUGCUUCUUGUCUGGAUCUCGUUCUUUUGGUCACGACCAUUGACCGCUGCAGCGACUGCAAGACGGUGGACGGCGCUCCAAUCCGCCUUUCGAUCUCACGCUCCAAUCUUCCCUCACUCGUGAACAAGACCCCAAGAUAUUUAAACUCAUCCAUCUAAGGCAGGAGCACUCCAUCCACCCAGAGAGGGAAAACUAUAUUUCUCUGGUCAUGAAUUAUAUGUCUUCAGACUUGGCGGUGCGGACUCUCAUCCCAACCACUUCACACUGGGCUACAAACUGCUCGAAUACAUGUUGGAGGUCCUGGUUGAAGCCAACAGGACAACAUCAUCUGCAAAGAGGAGAGAUGAAAUCCUGUGGUCCCCAAGCCAGAUCCCCUCCAGGCCUUGGCUGCACCUAGAACGGUGAUAAAGGGCAACAGGUCCGACUUACUGCUAGUUAUGUGAACCAAGCUUCUGCUCCGGGCAUACAGAGAGCGAACAGCCCCCAGUAAGGCUCCCCGGACCCCAUACUCUCCACAAAACACUAUUGCCUCGUUUCCACUGAGCGGUGCGGACCAGACCAGUCCCCUCCUGGCCAGUUUAGAAUGGUCCACUCAAUUCAAGUGAGUGUUUCCACUGAGCGUUGGACCAUCAGUGUAGACUGAUGAUGAAGCUGUGCGGCAAAACAGUGCGACUACAGCGAAAGAGAAGCUGCAUCAGCUGACUCAGAAACGGAGGGGAAAUUAAAAAGAUAACCACGGAAGAUAAGUGUAAUCCAGAGCAGGUGUUCAUUAUGGACGAAGCUGGACUCUACGCUGCAGUCUAUCUGCUGUUCUGAAUUAAAAGAAAACAUUUUUUUGUUGAGCAAUACUCCAAUGUUCUUUAACGUCCUAUGACAUUUUUAUUUAAAAAACGUUCCCAGUAGUACUUUAUUCACGAUUGUGAAGGUUUAAACAAAAAUCUCACAACCUAAAUGUUGAGGAAACGAGGUAUAAGAGGGACAUUGUUGAACGCUUUCUCCAAAUCCACAAAACACACAUGGACUGGAUGAGUGAACUCCCCAGAAUCCUCCAGCACCCUGAAGAGGGUGUAGAGCUACUCCAAUGUUCCAUAACCAGGACAGAAACUGCACUGUUGAAAGUCCAUGCCUGUACUCGGAUAUAGACUUUCAGAGGAGUGAGAUUCCACGGGAGUUGGAACACACCCUCUGGUCCCCCUUCUUGAAAGGGGCAGUCCAGUGCAGUUCCCAACUUCCACGCUGUGCUGCAGAGACGUGUCAGAAAAGCAUUCCCAAAGAAUCCAAAGACUUGAGGUACUCUGUGCUGACUUCAUCCACCCCUGGAGGGAGCCUUGCCACCAAGGAGAUCUUUGACUACCUCAGUGACCUCAGCUUGGAUGAUGGACUCCUAAGUCCUUUACUUUGCCAAUCCAGCAGGAUUUAGGAGAUCCUUGAAGUAUUCCUUCCAGAACCCAACAAUGUGGCCAGUUGAAGUCAGCAGCUCCCCACCUGCACUGAAAAUAGUGUCUGCAGAAAACUGCUUUACCCUCCUGAGGCGGAGGAUGGUUUUCCAGAAUCUCUUCAAGGCCAACCAAUAGUCCUUCUCCAUGGCCUCAACAGACUCCUCCCAGAACAGACUUUUUGCCUCCAAAACAGCCCGGCUGCAGCUCGCUUAGCCUGCUGGUACCUGUCAGCUGACUCAAGUCUCACAAACUAUCCAGGCCUGAUAGGACUCCUUCAGCCUCACGCAUCCCUUACUUCUGGUGUCCAUCCCCGGGGUCAGGUAUUAACACUUCAGGCACCAGAGACAUUGCGACCACAGCUCCAGGAAAGUAGCAGCUCUGGAAUUUCAGACGACUUUAAGUCAAGAUGUCAUGACUGAACUUCAAAACAACCUUCUGUCAAGGGUCUUUAAGGUGUAGAACUAUGGAGCGCUCCAGUACAGAACACAGAACAAGUCUCAUCAUCAGCAGGAACUUUAUUUGGAAUGUCACAAGUCAAGUCAUUAGGAAAACUACAGGGAUCUACUACGGGAACAGACACUUUGAGGAGAUUCUUCAACUUUUCCAUAUGAUGUGUCCAUCUGUUCCCAGCUUCACAGAACCACUGGACACCAGCUCCAUGGCGGCAGGAAACGCCCUAUGCUCCGCCUCCCUGAUGCGCUCCGACAGCGUCUCUUCCGUAUCCGUGGGGAGGACGGGAACCGCCUCCUGAACGAUGAUGGCUCCAGCAUCCACCUCCUCCUGAAAGACAAACAGUCAGGUCGCCCUCCUCAUCGCAGGAUGUUUCAUCUAAACACGUACUCACAGCCACAAAGUGGACGGUACACCCCGCCACGCGGACGCCAGCCUCCAGCGCCUGUUUCUGAGCGUUCACCCCUUUGAAUGACGGCAGCAGCGACGGGUGGAUGUUCAGGAGCUUACCUGCAGCAGAACCGCGGUGAGUUAACGGCUCCCCGAUGGAAUCACAGCGACGUCAUCGACUCACCUGUCCACUUCUUCACAAACGUUCCAGUGAGGAUCCUCAUGAACCCGGCCAGACACACCAGCUCCACGCCGAACUCCUCCAGAACGCGGUCAAUGGUUCCAUCAAACUCCGCACGGCUGCCAAACAGUUUGUGGUCGACCACCUGGAGGAGACGAGGAGUUUCUCCAACUACAAACUGACUUUAGAUUUUGGGACAAAAAGUUCCAUCAUCUCAACUAGUGCUGCCACGAUUAGUUGACUGAUCGAUUACUAAUCCACUAUUAAAAUAGUCAACAACUAAUUUAA